CAAAACUCCAAUUUCCAACAACUUUGCCUGCAGCUUCAACUACCAUUAUUUCAAGCCAAUCCUAUCUCUAUUUCCUUUUGCCUUUUCUUCUUCUUCCUCCUUUUGCUAAAGCGAUUUCUGAGCAAAAACCAAAGCCCCAAUUUCCCUCCUUCACCACCCAAACUUCCCAUCAUUGGCAACCUUCACCAAUUAGGAACCUUACCACACCAAUCUUUAGCUUCCCUUUCCAACAAACAUGGCCCUCUCAUGCUCCUCAAACUAGGCCAAACCCCAACUCUAGUGGUUUCCUCACCAAAUAUGGCUAGAGAAAUUAUGAAGACCCAUGACCUUAAUUUCUCCAAUAGACCCAAAACCACAGCCUCAAAUCUCUUGUUCUAUAGUUGCCAAGAUGUGGG
rnacentral:lncRNA from 1 species